rnacentral:lncRNA from 1 species
CGGGCACUGACCCCGAGGUGUUAGGCGAUUGGGUAUUUUGACCUAGAAUCAGAAGCGGUAACCAGUAGAAAAGGAAAAACUGUGGGAAUCUAGCCAAUAGUGAGGAAGGACCUGCGUUUUUGGUGACUUCCCGGGGAGGAUCUUGACGUGUAGUUCAGGCCUUACGUAUCCCAGGCUGUCCUGGAACCUGCAAUCCUCCUGGCUCAGCCUCCCGCGUAGCUGGGGUUACAGGCGUUCGUCACCAGGCCUGUUGGUACCCAUCUACCUCUGUGUUGUGCUUAAGAAAUACCAGUGGUUGCUCUUCAUAGUAGGCUUUCCAUAAGAUCGAGGGAUUGACAACACACCCGCCACUACCAAGGAACACUAUGAUAUUCAGGUUCACGUAAGGAAACUCCACAAGGUCCUGCAGCUGCGAGCGCCACAGAGGACUCGACCACCAGCUGCCGUAAGCAGUCCAACUGCCUGUGGGCAAGGGACAAAGGGCGCUGUCACGGUGGGAUGCAGCUGGUGCACUGCCUUCCCCAGAGACCCUGAACUCACCUGCUGGAGUCAGGAAUCUGGGUCAGGGCCUCAUACGCCUGGCUGUUGUGACCCAGAUCCAAGUGAUGUUUGAAGAUGCAUGUCCUUAAGGUGGCC